rnacentral:rRNA from 1 species
GGUUAAGUUAGAAAGGGCGCACGGUGGAUGCCUUGGCACUAGGAGCCGAAGAAGGACGGGACUAACACCGAUAUGCUUUGGGGAGCUGUACGUAAGCGUUGAUCCAGAGAUUUCCGAAUGGGGGAACCCACUAUCUUUAGUCGGAUAGUAUCCUUACGUGAAUACAUAGCGUGAGGAAGGCAGACCCAGGGAACUGAAACAUCUAAGUACCUGGAGGAAGAGAAAGAAAAAUCGAUUUCCUGAGUAGCGGCGAGCGAAACGGAAAGAGCCCAAACCAAGAAGCUUGCUUCUUGGGGUUGUAGGACACUCUAUACGGAGUUACAAAAGAAAGUUAUAAAUGAAGCGGUCUGGAAAGGCCCGCCAAAGACGGUAACAGCCCGGUAGUUGAAAUGGCUUUCCCUCCAGAGUGGAUCCUGAGUACGGCGGAACACGUGAAAUUCCGUCGGAAUCCGGGAGGACCAUCUCCCAAGGCUAAAUACUCCCUAGUGACCGAUAGUGAACCAGUACCGUGAGGGAAAGGUGAAAAGCACCCCGGAAGGGGAGUGAAACAGUUCCUGAAACCGUGUGCCUACAAGUAGUUAGAGCCCGUUAAUGGGUGAUAGCGUGCCUUUUGUAGAAUGAACCGGCGAGUUACGAUUUGUUGCAAGGUUAAGCGGAAAAAGCGGAGCCGUAGCGAAAGCGAGUCUGAAUAGGGCGCAUAAGUAACAGGUCGUAGACCCGAAACCAGGUGAUCUACCCAUGUCCAGGAUGAAGGUAAGGUAAUACUUACUGGAGGUCCGAACCCACGCACGUUGAAAAGUGCGGGGAUGAGGUGUGGGUAGCGGAGAAAUUCCAAUCGAACUUGGAGAUAGCUGGUUCUCUCCGAAAUAGCUUUAGGGCUAGCCUCGAGGUAAAGAGUCAUGGAGGUAGAGCACUGUUUGGACUAGGGGCCCUUCUCGGGUUACCGAAUUCAGAUAAACUCCGAAUGCCAUGUACUUAUACUCGGGAGUCAGACUGCGAGUGAUAAGAUCCGUAGUCGAAAGGGAAACAGCCCAGACCACCAGUUAAGGUCCCCAAAUAUAUGUUAAGUGGAAAAGGAUGUGGGGUUGCUUAGACAACCAGGAUGUUGGCUUAGAAGCAGCCACCAUUGAAAGAGUGCGUAAUAGCUCACUGGUCGAGUGACCCCGCGCCGAAAAUGUACCGGGGCUAAACAUAUUACCGAAACUGUGGAUGAACCUCUUUAGAGGUUCGUGGUAGGAGAGCGUUCUAAGGGCGGUGAAGUCAGACCGGAAGGACUGGUGGAGCGCUUAGAAGUGAGAAUGCCGGUAUGAGUAGCGAAAGAAGGGUGAGAAUCCCUUCCACCGAAUAUCUAAGGUUUCCUGAGGAAGGCUCGUCCGCUCAGGGUUAGUCGGGACCUAAGCCGAGGCCGAUAGGCGUAGGCGAUGGACAACAGGUAGAGAUUCCUGUACCAGUGCUAAUUGUUUAACCGAUGGGGUGACACAGAAGGAUAGGGAAUCGCACGAAUGGAAAUGUGCGUCCAAGCAGUGAGUGUGAGAAGUAGGCAAAUCCGCUUCUCGCGAAGCAUGAGC